AAGGCGAAUGACAACCAAGAAAUCAGGUUGGAUCUCCUCAGAGCUGCAGCAAUGCCAUUUUACUGACUUAGUGAGCAGCUGGAGGUGCCGGGAGUAUUAAUAAAUCCCGACAGGAUCCUCUAACAUGGACUAAGGAAGAACAGAGAGAAUAAAGCCAAGAUCCAGCAAAUCCAGCGUACCAUUCAUGGAGAUUUCAUAUAGAAUUUGAGCACCUGAGCCUCCUCCCUGCAUCUGGUGUGUAGCCAGUGGGGUUCUGUUUUCUCUGGUUUUUGUCAGAUGUUUCAUGAUCGUGACCUGCAGUGGCACUCCCAGCUCUGCAGCAUCCGUGUGGUAUCUCCUAGUGCUGGGAGGCAGACGGUGCCCAGAGGAGAGGCCAGAAGUGCUGGGAACGGACUAGAGGCAAAGAAGCGGUGCUGAGUCUUUGGAGUGGAAGGUAGUUCUUCUGCCAAAGGGUUUCUGUGCCAUGAUUUGCUACACAAACAACGUCUGAGUCCUCGAUUUUGGAAAUCAGGUUUCUGGAAACCCUAUGGGCUCCGUAUGAAGGACAAGGAACUGACCCUGGCAAGUGCAGAGCUUGGAGGUUUUGCAUCUUCCUCUUUAACCGCCCAAUGGCUGGAUCUGCCAGAGCACGCAGGGCACAAACACGUGGCACAGCAGCGAUGCUUUUCCAAGGAGCUACGGCCCCGUCAGGAAGGGAGAAGCCAAUGUGAGAUGCGAGAAACUCAUACGCUCUUUCAAGCUUUGGUCUUCUCACCUGUAUGAUAGAAAGAGCUGUGAUUUAAGAAGGGACAAGUGGCUGAAGCCAAAUCCAGCCCCUAAGGUGUGGCAGCGGCAGAAAGAAAGGUGGGAAAGAAAGAAAGCAAACAGCUCUUGUAUGUGACUUUUGCCAAUUACCUGCUGGUAGGCGUCAAGGAGGACAGGUCACACUCUGCUCACCUUUUCCACAAAUAGACCGAGGGCUCCACCUGAACACAUUUCAGCCAUUUCCCUCCUGACACCUCAGCAGCCCUCCAGCUCCCACCCAGAUGAGCAUGAACUUUCCUGUUCCCCUGGCUUUUCCCAUUUAUUGGCAUAAACUGUCCUCAGCACAGCAUCCAAGGUAGGCUCUGCAACCUGCCCUGGCCCCCAGGCUUGCAGAAAACCUGCCAGGUCCUUUGUUUGUGGGAAGACCACAGAGAGCCCACUGCGUUUUUUUUCCAGUUGGCCAUGCUGUGGAUGGCUCUUUGCUGCUGCAGGUGCUUGGCUGCAAGUGGAACACAACAUCCACUUCUGUCAGAGCUCUGCACAGCAGAUGGCUUUGCGAAGAACAAAGCAGAGGGCUACUUGCAACGAAGAACGAGUGAGUGCAGGAUGUUUGCUCUGUGGCUCAGGGGAACCAGCUGGUAAUAGUGCAGAACCUCUGCAUUUGGUGGCCAUGGGAGAGAGGUGACACCAGGCUGCCUGUAAGCCCUGUGAACAGCAACACAGCGUUGACCUGUGCCAACCUCCAGCACUUCUUCCUAUCUCCCAGAAAGGCCACAGAACCACUGAAAGGCUGGGGCUUGGUGACACUGCUACGUGCCAGGGAUAGGAGCCUUUGUGAGCACAGCCUUUGUUCUGUGCCACACAACAAAGCCCAGUAACGAUCAGCCUUUUACCUGCCACCUGUUUGCUUUGCCUGUGUUAUAUUGUGCCAGAAGAAAAACCAGGAAACAGGACCGAGCCAUAACUCACGGAAACCAGCGGGAGCUGGAGGAACCAGUCCCAGAAGCACGGUGCUGGUUUCCUGCCAGGAGAGCCGACUUCCAGAAUUCCUACAAAAUUCAAGAUGGGCAUGAGGAGGGGAGAAAAAGCAAUCCCUGAAGCGGAGUGUUGGGGCAAUCUGAUUGCCGUUGGCUCUGUAUCAGCCCGGUUAUUUCUCUCUCUGCCUUGUGAGCGCUUCAAACCCUGACAGGGCCCCAUCUGUCGCUGUGAGUUCCUUGCAAAACGAGCUACAAAAGCAGUUGCUUCACGCCAUCAGACAGGGCCAAAUUUUCCUGCGUGUUGUCAAUCACCACUUGCACAAACCACAAGGACCAUCCCACGGGCCAUGCUGCGAGCUAUUUAUAUUUUAUCACCAUGGAGAGCGUUUAUUUGGCAUCGCUGGCCAUUUGGAGCUGCUCACCCUGCCUCUUACAGCUUGAGGUGAGGAAGGUUCCCUUGUUAUGUGUCUUAAUAAGAUGCUCAGUUAGCACCCAUCAGCUGAGCUGGUCAUGUUGAUGGCCAGGGUGGGCUCAGCUGGUCACUAACUAGCUAUAAAAGGCCAAAGGGAGUGGACAGCCUCAGCAUGGAAUGGCUGUGGGUUUCACAAAUGGCUGUUCACCUCUGAGCGAUGGGAAAAAUGACUUUCAGCAUUUAUUUCCAUGGACUCAAGAGCUCUCUGCUGCCCCAGGAAAAAUGGGAUCCAACGAGGAAUGGGAGUGCCCUCGGUCCCAUCAUCUAAAACUUCUUGGUUCCUGUUAGGUAAGAGUUAAAUGCAUGCUAGCUCCCUUUGUUGAGCAUACUACUGCAGUCAGCUCAAGCUCCCUCCUGUCUUCUGCUUGUUGUUUAUAUGUACAGGCAGUGCCUUUGUUCCCAGCAGUUCCAGAGCAGCCCUUGAUUUCGGGCCCCGCUUUAAGGAGAUGAAGGCCAAGGAGGAGGCAGCGAGCCGAGCGCUGCGUGUUUUUAACUUCGCAUCCCACUUUUGUUCAGGGCUCCCUGUAGCCAGAGCUCUUUCUCGCACGCUGCAAGUGUUUAUUGAAAGGGUAGGCUCCCAGUCAUCAAAUAGCAGAUAGCGAAUAAUGAGUUAGGCUCGCGCACAGAAAUCCAAAUGGGUUUGUUUAAAGUGGUGUUUGGUAUGCAAAUAAAAUUAGCAAUCCAAAUGAGGCUGCUUCUCCCCGGAGUGUUUGCUCAGCCUCUCCCUGGUGUUGGCUUCCAAUUGCAGGGAGCCAGGUAAUGGUUUAAUGCGGCCCAUUAAGUGAUUUGCCUUCGGACACCGAGAUUAAAAGGGAACCUUUCUCUGUAUAGACCCAUUGGUUGCUCCAGACCCACUCUGAGCGCCCUGCUGGCCCUAGGGGCACAGUAACCUGAAUUUAGGAGUAGUUUUGAUCCUGUGUGCUAUCCGUGGGGAGGGGGAAACGCUGUUGUCUUGAAAAAGGCAGGUAGUUUGGUAAGAGUAUGUUAUUUCUUAAGCAACUCGUACUUAAAUCCACUUUAGUCGAGUAAAACAAUCAUGUUAUGCGCUCGGAGCUUCUGUAGUGUAAAUGCCCUGAACUUUGCUCCUGAAUCAGUUCAGAUUGCAGCAGUUGUGCCAAGAUGUGCUCGUUAAAUUUACAGCCCUGGGAGCUCACCCCACCCACCCACCUCUCCUGAAAUAAACCGACAAAGGAGAAAGCAAAGUGCUUCUCCCAGCAGGGCUUCUGAAGGGGGCAAGGAGCUGUGGCUUUCAUGGCACCCAGGAUCCAGGCAGCAUUCCGGGGCUGCUCCUGGGGUGUGGAACGCCCGUACCGAACCGAGAGCCAUGCUCGGUGUUGGUUGGGCUUUCCCCACGCUUAUGGUUGAUGGGAGCUGUUCUUAACGAACUGAACUUUUUAUUGCUCCGUGAUGAGUCACCGUGUAUUUAGCAGAGUUCAAGCUGUUUUUCCAGUUAAAUGUUUUGAUUCAUGCAAAAUGUUGGGAUAAUUAAUGCUUUUUCUUCGCCUUUUCUCUGCUGCCUUUUAGAAAUGCCUGUUUUACGUUCGCUUGUUUUUAAAAUCCUUAAUUACGGGGGGGGGGGGGAAGGAGAUGCUGGACUUUCUUUUAAGCACAUACAUUGCUAUGGCAGUAUGUUAAACAUUAAUGUUGCUAAGUUAAAGCCAAAUGAGAUGCCUGAAUACUUGGAGCCUACAACAAAGUCUCUUGGUUAUUUUCUCCUGCAAUUGUCUGAACAAGUUAAUUUCUGUGUGUGUCUGAGCUUUCCCAAGGUAACAUGCAGGUAACACACGGCAGUUUGAUUGCAAUGUGUGCAGAGUGUUGGUCUGGUGAGAUGAAGGGUGCAGCAUUAAUGGACUGUGGCAUUGUGACAGCAAACACGGCCGGUUCUGGAGCUCUUCCUCCUGAUGAGCAGCACUGGGAAGCAUCAACAGUGUAAAGGAGCUGAAAACCAAUGGGCGCAAUUCUGAAAAACCAGCACCAGGUCUGUGCGCUAUCCCACACCAGAGCGGGUCCCCAGGAACCCCAAAACUUGAUGUUCUUUGAGAAAUGCACCAACGCUCCUUGUGUAAGGAGUAUUUUCCGGGUGGGCCCGAGCACUUUGGUCGUGCCCAGGAUCUUUCAGAAGCAACAGGUCAUGAAGAGAAGGAACGAGAAAGGUGGGAGCAGAAGGGAGCGCGGGGGAAGGCGGUCGGAGCCUUACCGUUGUGGACCAGCCAGGCACAAAACGCAAAGCAACGCAGCGCAAUCCAAGAAAGGACCCGAAACAAAAAUCCAAACCACCACCGAAAAAUCCCAAACGCCCCAUCUCGAUUUUCCGAGUCCUCAACGGCGUGCUUUCUCCGGCUAUGCGGUACCCAUGAAAUAUAAAACCACCCUAAUGGUCGCCCAGGUUACCGACUUCAUUUAGUUAAUCAUCACCACUAUUACCAAUGUUCAGGCCUUGAGAAAAAAAGGAAAGAAUGACUGAAGAGGAGUGGAAAACAAGGAACUUAAGUGAACCCCACCCCCUUUUUUUUUUUAAACAUCGGGAGUAAUUAGAUUGAGGACACAAAGAAAACCCUAUUUCCUACAUGAGCAAACCUCCAUACAAAAGGGGAAGCCUAGGAGAGUUUUUACAGCUCUAUGGCUAUCUCAUGGAAGCGAUUUCCAAACGCUACCAUCAGCUGGCAUGUGGUCAUACAAGCAUAUUUUAAUGUGCCCUUUCAUUCACUUUGGACCUGAUUAAAUUAAAAGCAUUGUUCUGGAGAGGAUUUUUCUUUUCUUUCUGAAAUGAAGCUUAGCUCAAUUUUUACACAGCAGCCUGCACUGGUAAAUCUGUGUCAGCAGGUCAGGCCAGCUCUGGGACCUGCAGCCCCUCAGCUCAUUCCCUGCACAGAGCAGCACUGCACUUGGUGUUAACAAGGGCAGGAGAAGCACUGAGCCCCUGAUCUCUUGGAAACACUGGAUGGCAUCACUGUAUCUGGAGAAUAGAGUUUGCUGCUGGCCAGCCCCAGCACUCAGGUGCCAGAUUUGUACGUUCUGACUGUUAGCGUUCCUGAAAUGUAUUAAUACAGCCAUGAUCAUAAUGGUGAGUGAUAUAAUUAUUCUGAGAACUUAUUAUGCCUUCACCAGGCUCAUCGCUUGCUGGGCAGAAUGGGAGAAGGAGACAGAAUUCAGAAUUUAGCUAAUACUUUCCCGAAUCCUGGCAUUUCUGUGCUUUUCUUUGAGUUGCUUCAAUUUAGUUACCCGUAUGUGGAACGGUGCCUUUUCAGAGCUCAAAUUCUCAUUCAGUAAUGACUUCUAAUAACUCAAUGAUUAAAUUCAAAUUAAUUUUGAGAGCCCUUUAGACACCCACAAGCGAAGGUACUUGCAGAAGUCUUGCACGUACCAACCUCCAGCUCUGCGUGGGCACUGAGCGUCAGGCACAGCCGCAAUGCCAGCUAAAUUAAAAAAGGGAUCUAAACCAAUUAAAAGGACUGAAACCGGUACUGAAUUUGAAAAGUCAAGAGGGAAUGGAUAAAAGCUCAUAUCUGGCUUGGUAUUUGUGCAUAAACAGGGCAUGCAGUUUUUCAGUCGUCAUGCAGUUCUCUGAGACUCGAGCAAGCACAAACUAAUCUUCUGUCAGAGCAGUCUAGAACAAAACGAAAGCCUCUAACUUUUUCUUUCAAAGGAAUGUGAUUUAGGCAAUAUUUGCAAUUACAGAGAGAAGAUAUAGGCAAGAAUAAAAACAAAAAUCAAGAACUAGCCUCAGUGAAAAGGAGGGGGUAAGUAAUCCAGCAGCAUUUCAUGCAAAUUGGACGAAUUUUUUCAGAAAUUAAAGAC